AGGGGGGACCAACAGUUGGAAACCGACUGCUUAUUACCGCAUACGAUCUAACCUCGGCAUCGAGGAAAAGAUGAAAGGUGGCCUCUAUGUAUAAGCUAUCACUGAAGGAGGGGAUUGCGUCUGAUUAGCUAGUUGGAGGGGUAACCGCCCACCAAGGCGAUGAUCAGUAGCCGGUCUGAGAGGAUGAACGGCCACAUUGGGACUGAGACACGGCCCAGACUCCUACGGGAGGCAGCAGUGGGGAAUCUUCCGCAAUGGACGAAAGUCUGACGGAGCAACGCCGCGUGAGUGAUGACCGGCUUCGGGUUGUAAAGCUCUGUUAAUCGGGACGAAAGGCCUUCUUGCGAAUAGUGAGAAGGAUUGACGUACCGGAAUA
rnacentral:rRNA from 1 species